rnacentral:rRNA from 2 species
UACCAGCACCCCGAGUGGUCGGGACGAUUAUUGGGCCUAAAGCAUCCGUAGCCGGUCAUGCAAGUCUUCCGUUAAAUCCACCCGCUCAACGGUUGGGCUGCGGAGGAUACUACGUGGCUAGGAGGCGGGAGAGGCAAGCGGUACUCAGUGGGUAGGGGUAAAAUCCUUUGAUCCAUUGAAGACCACCAGUGGCGAAGGCGGCUUGCCAGAACGCGCUCGACGGUGAGGGAUGAAAGCUGGGGGAGCAAACCGG